rnacentral:rRNA from 1 species
UACAGAGGUCUCAAGCGUUGUUCGGAUUCAUUGGGCGUAAAGGGUGCGUAGGCGGCGCGGUAAGUCGGGUGUGAAAUCUCGGAGCUUAACUCCGAAACUGCAUUCGAUACUGCCGUGCUUGAGGACUGGAGAGGAGACUGGAAUUUACGGUGUAGCGGUGAAAUGCGUAGAUAUCGUAAGGAAGACCAGUGGCGAAGGCGGGUCUCUGGACAGGUCCUGACGCUGAGGCACGAAAGCUAGGGGAGCAAACAGG